AUUGAACGCUGGCGGCAGGCCUAACACAUGCAAGUCGAACGAGUGGCGGACGGGUGAGUAAUGUCUGGGCAACUGCCUGAUGGAGGGGGAUAACUACUGGAAACGGUAGCUACUACCGCAUACCAUCGGAUGUGCCCAGGUGGGAUUAGCUAGUAGGUGGGGUAAAGGCUCACCUAGGCGACGAUGCCUAGCUGGUCUGAGAGGAUGACCAGCCACAAUGGAACUGAGACACGGCCCAGACGCCUACGGGAGGCAGCAGUGGGGAAUAUUGGACAAUGGGCGCAAGCCUGAUGCAGCCAUGCCGCGUGUAUGAAGAAGGCCUUCGGGUUGUAAAGUACUGUCAGCGGGGAGGCGUUACCCGCAGAAGAAGCACCGGCUAACUCCGUGCCAGCAGCCGCGGUAAUUC
rnacentral:rRNA from 1 species